GACGAACGCUGGCGGCGCGCCUAACACAUGCAAGUCGAACGAGAAAGGAAGAGCUUGCUCUUCUAAUCGAGUGGCGAACGGGUGAGUAACGCGUGAGGAACCUGCCUCAAAGAGGGGGACAACAGUUGGAAACGACUGCUAAUACCGCAUAAGCCCACGGUGCCGCAUGGCACAGAGGGAAAAGGAGCAAUCCGCUUUGAGAUGGCCUCGCGUCCGAUUAGCUAGUUGGUGAGGUAACGGCCCACCAAGGCGACGAUCGGUAGCCGGACUGAGAGGUUGAACGGCCACAUUGGGACUGAGACACGGCCCAGACUCCUACGGGAGGCAGCAGUGGGGAAUAUUGCACAAUGGGGGAAACCCUGAUGCAGCGACGCCGCGUGAGCGAAGAAGUAUUUCGGUAUGUAAAGCUCUAUCAGCAGGGAAGAAGAAAUGACGGUACCUGACUAAGAAGCACCGGCUAAAUACGUG
rnacentral:rRNA from 1 species